ACAAACUUGGUCAUUUAGAGGAAGUAAAAGUCGUAACAAGGUUUCCGUAGGUAAGUUAUAUCGGAAAAGUCUGUUGCUGUUACGUGGCCAUUGCUAACUUUAACUUAGGUGAACCUGCGGAAGGAUCAUUAUCGAGUUAGGGUCUUUUUGGCCCAACCUCCAACCCUUUGUCUACCUGACCACUGUUGCUUUGGCGAGCCUGUUUCUAGAAAUAGAGGCUGCCGGAGGCGAAUUACCCUCUGGAUCGUGCUCGUCAAUAGCCUUUAUUAAACUCUUUGCUAAAUGUGGAGUCUAAGCAAUACCUAAAAGCUAAAACUUUCAACAACGGAUCUCUUGGUUCUGGCAUCGAUGAAGAACGCAGC
rnacentral:misc_RNA from 1 species